rnacentral:rRNA from 1 species
GACGAACGCUGGCGGCAUGCUUAACACAUGCAAGUCGAACGGAGUGGCGAACGGGUGAGUAACAAGUGGGGACCUGCCCUGCACUUCGGGAUAAGCCUGGGAAACUGGGUCUAAUAAAGGAGAGUGUGGGAUGGGCCGGCGGCCUCUCAGCUUGUUUGUGGGGUAAGGGCCUCCAAGGGCGACGAUCCGUAACUGGUCUGAGAGGAUGAUCAGCAACACUGGAACUGCGACAGUGUCCAGACUCCUACGGGAGGCAGCAGUGGGGAAUAUUGGACAAUGGGCGAAAGCCUGAUCCAGCCAUGCCGCGUGUGUGAAGAAGUUCUUCGGAUUGUAAAGCACUUUCAGUUGGGAGGCGUUACCAACAGAAUAAGCACCGGCUAACUUCGUGCCAGCAGCCGCGGUAAUUC